AGGGGGCGGCCUGGCCGCGGGAGGCGCUGCCUGGCCCGUCUGGCGCCCGCGCCCGCGUCGGCUGGAUGGACCCAGGAACUUCCGGCCGCCGGGAGCCCAGGGGAUAAACUCCAGGAGGGCAUGAUUUUUGUCUGUUCUGUGCUCUGCUAUAUCCUCAAUGCCUGUAGAAGCUCUGUCCAAUGGAAAUAGAGUGCGAUCCAUGAACGCAACUACUGUGUAAAUCAAGGGAAGACCAAGUUUUGCUUUGCUCAAGAGCUUUAGCAAGGACUUAUCACCAUUUUGGAAAAUCACACCUGUAAUGGCAACAUGACUCAUGAUAGAGAAAGAAGAAAUUCACCCAGAUACCUGCUGGCAAAUCUAAUUGUUUGAGGAUUUUGCUUGACCAUGGGAUGAGUCCCCAUACGACACACCUGGAUCCGUCUGCAUGUGUUGAUGUCGCGGUCGCCGUGUUUCAUGGUAUACAAAAGUCUACUUUUUUUUUUUUUUUUUUUGCGGUACGCGGGCCUCUCACUGCUGUGGCCUCUCCCGUUGCGGAGCACAGGCUCUGGAUGCGCAGGCUCAGCAGCCAUGGCUCACGGGCCUAGCCGCUCCGCGGCAUGUGGGAUCUUCCCGGACCGGGGCACGAACCCGUGUCCCCUGCAUUGGCAGGUGGACUCUCAACCACUGCUCCACCAGGGAAGCCCAAAACUCUACUUUUGAAGCUCUUACUUUCAAAUGCCAAAAAUAAAGUAUUGCCUGAAUAUCGUCUUA